rfam:Capsicum annuum cultivar Zunla-1 chromosome 11, whole genome shotgun sequence
UCAUGGGUCUUUUUAAAGACCAAAACAUAAAUAUAUAUAUAUUAUCU